GGGUUGUGAGGUUAAGCGACUAAGCGUACACGGUGGAUGCCCUGGCAGUCAGAGGCGAUGAAGGACGUGCUAAUCUGCGAUAAGCGUCGGUAAGGUGAUAUGAACCGUUAUAACCGGCGAUUUCCGAAUGGGGAAACCCAGUGUGUUUCGACACACUAUCAUUAACUGAAUCCAUAGGUUAAUGAGGCGAACCGGGGGAACUGAAACAUCUAAGUACCCCGAGGAAAAGAAAUCAACCGAGAUUCCCCCAGUAGCGGCGAGCGAACGGGGAGGAGCCCAGAGCCUGAAUCAGUGUGUGUGUUAGUGGAAGCGUCUGGAAAGGCGCGCGAUACAGGGUGACAGCCCCGUACACAAAAAUGCACAUGCUGUGAGCUCGAUGAGUAGGGCGGGACACGUGGUAUCCUGUCUGAAUAUGGGGGGACCAUCCUCCAAGGCUAAAUACUCCUGACUGACCGAUAGUGAACCAGUACCGUGAGGGAAAGGCGAAAAGAACCCCGGCGAGGGGAGUGAAAAAGAACCUGAAACCGUGUACGUACAAGCAGUGGGAGCAUGCUUAGGCGUGUGACUGCGUACCUUUUGUAUAAUGGGUCAGCGACUUAUAUUCUGUAGCAAGGUUAACCGAAUAGGGGAGCCGAAGGGAAACCGAGUCUUAACUGGGCGUUAAGUUGCAGGGUAUAGACCCGAAACCCGGUGAUCUAGCCAUGGGCAGGUUGAAGGUUGGGUAACACUAACUGGAGGACCGAACCGACUAAUGUUGAAAAAUUAGCGGAUGACUUGUGGCUGGGGGUGAAAGGCCAAUCAAACCGGGAGAUAGCUGGUUCUCCCCGAAAGCUAUUUAGGUAGCGCCUCGUGAACUCAUCUCCGGGGGUAGAGCACUGUUUCGGCAAGGGGGUCAUCCCGACUUACCAACCCGAUGCAAACUGCGAAUACCGGAGAAUGUUAUCACGGGAGACACACGGCGGGUGCUAACGUCCGUCGUGAAGAGGGAAACAACCCAGACCGCCAGCUAAGGUCCCAAAGUCAUGGUUAAGUGGGAAACGAUGUGGGAAGGCCCAGACAGCCAGGAUGUUGGCUUAGAAGCAGCCAUCAUUUAAAGAAAGCGUAAUAGCUCACUGGUCGAGUCGGCCUGCGCGGAAGAUGUAACGGGGCUAAACCAUGCACCGAAGCUGCGGCAGCGACGCUUAUGCGUUGUUGGGUAGGGGAGCGUUCUGUAAGCCUGUGAAGGUGUACUGUGAGGUAUGCUGGAGGUAUCAGAAGUGCGAAUGCUGACAUAAGUAACGAUAAAGCGGGUGAAAAGCCCGCUCGCCGGAAGACCAAGGGUUCCUGUCCAACGUUAAUCGGGGCAGGGUGAGUCGACCCCUAAGGCGAGGCCGAAAGGCGUAGUCGAUGGGAAACAGGUUAAUAUUCCUGUACUUGGUGUUACUGCGAAGGGGGGACGGAGAAGGCUAUGUUGGCCGGGCGACGGUUGUCCCGGUUUAAGCGUGUAGGCUGGUUUUCCAGGCAAAUCCGGAAAAUCAAGGCUGAGGCGUAAUGACGAGGCACUACGGUGCUGAAGCAACAAAUGCCCUGCUUCCAGGAAAAGCCUCUAAGCAUCAGGUAACAUCAAAUCGUACCCCAAACCGACACAGGUGGUCAGGUAGAGAAUACCAAGGCGCUUGAGAGAACUCGGGUGAAGGAACUAGGCAAAAUGGUGCCGUAACUUCGGGAGAAGGCACGCUGAUAUGUAGGUGAAGUCCCUUGCGGAUGGAGCUGAAAUCAGUCGAAGAUACCAGCUGGCUGCAACUGUUUAUUAAAAACACAGCACUGUGCAAACACGAAAGUGGACGUAUACGGUGUGACGCCUGCCCGGUGCCGGAAGGUUAAUUGAUGGGGUUAGCGCAAGCGAAGCUCUUGAUCGAAGCCCCGGUAAACGGCGGCCGUAACUAUAACGGUCCUAAGGUAGCGAAAUUCCUUGUCGGGUAAGUUCCGACCUGCACGAAUGGCGUAAUGAUGGCCAGGCUGUCUCCACCCGAGACUCGGUGAAAUUGAACUCGCUGUGAAGAUGCAGUGUACCCGCGGCAAGACGGAAAGACCCCGUGAACCUUUACUAUAGCUUGACACUGAACAUUGAGCCUUGAUGUGUAGGAUAGGUGGGAGGCUU
rnacentral:rRNA from 2 species